UACGUAGGGGGCAAGCGUUGUCCGGAUUCAUUGGGCGUAAAGAGCGUGUAGGCGGCCAGGUAGGUCGGUUGUGAAAACUGGAGGCUCAACCUUCAGAGGUCGACCGAAACCAUCUGGCUAGAGUCCGGGAGAGGAGAGUGGAAUUCCUGGUGUAGCGGUGAAAUGCGCAGAUAUCGGGAGGAACACCAGUAGCGAAGGCGACACUCUGGGCCGGUACUGACGCUGAGGAGCGAAAAGCGUGGGGAGCAAACAGG
rnacentral:rRNA from 1 species